AAGAAUUGCCAAAAAUUUCUGUAAAGACCAAUCCAUUGUGAAUUAUGGAGAACUUUGAUUAACUUUGCUUGCCUGUCCCUUUAUUUGUUAUGAUAGUGUUUAAUAGAUCUUUGUCCAUUACUCAUGUAGCCCUUGCUCUUCUCUGUGGAACGGGAAGACUUUCAACAAUCAUAUCAUUUUCCAUAUACUUGUAUGCUAUAUAGUGGUUAUUAUUCUUGUCAAUGAUAAUUAUAUUCCUGUCUUCUUCUGUGUUGUAUAAUUUGAAUGAAAUUUCUAUCAUCUUGCUCCACAAAACAGAUGAGUUUCAGAUGGAUAAUUGUUCGACAUCUUUUUUUCUUCUUUUUUAUCUAAUUCCAUUGUGGUAUGUCUUGUUUAGAGUGAAUUACUAAUACAGUGGUAUUUCAGUUCUCUUUUGGUCACAAUCUUAAGUCUUAUUUACUUUUCUUUAAAAAAAUGUACCUUUUCAAUAUUCAACUUUAGAAUCUGCACUGUCUUUGAACAGGUAAUUCUCAGUGCAUCACGUAGAAUUGCAUGAAAUCCAAUGAUUUUUUUGUUAUUUUCUAGAGUAAGCACGUAGCUACUUAGCGGCAAAUGGAUUCUUGUGAUAGACAUGGUAAUAAAUUGAUGUACAUACUGUCGGUAGUUUAAUGGAACUAAGUUUUUGUUUCAUGAAGCUUUAAAUAGAAAAAUUGAAAAAAAAUUGAAGUGAUGAAUAGAUAAUUAACCCAAAGAACAUUCCAAUAACGAUUUUAACAAAGUGAAAUGAACAAGCGGAUGAUGGUCGGAUUGUCAUCAGUUGCUUCAUAUGAUUGUUGUCUUUGUUUUGUGGAUAAACCAUGUAAAGAUAUGUACACCUUUCUGUUCUAAAGAAUAAACAUAUUAAAGCU
rnacentral:misc_RNA from 1 species